UCCCUGGUGGUCCAGUGGCUAAGACUCUGUGCUCCCAAUGCAGGGGGCCUGGGUUCAAUCCCUGGUUAGGGAA
rnacentral:tRNA from 1 species